AGUCGAACGAGGUAGCAAUACCUAGUGGCGCACGGGUGAGUAACGCGUGGAUAAUCUGCCCUUCACUGGGGAAUAACUAAUCGAAAGGUUAGCUAAUACCGCAUGAGGCCACAGUUUCUGAGGAAGCAGUGGUUAAAGAUUUAUUGGUGAAGGAUGAGUCUGCGUGGGAUUAGCUAGUUGGUGAGGUAAUGGCUCACCAAGGCUACGAUCUCUAACAGGUCUGAGAGGAUGACCUGUCACACUGGAACUGAGACACGGUCCAGACUCCUACGGGAGGCAGCAGUAGGGAAUAUUGCGCAAUGGACGAAAGUCUGACGCAGCGACGCCGCGUGAGUGAUGAAGGCCUUAGGGUCGUAAAGCUCUGUUGCAGGGGAAGAAAAAAAUGACGGUACCCUGCGAGAAAGGAUCGGCUAACUUCGUGCCAGCAGCCGCGGUAAGACGAGGGAUCCUAGCGUUGUUCGGAAUCAUUGGGCGUAAAGCGCAUGUAGGCUGCCAUUCAAGUCAGUUGUGAAAGCCCCGGGCUCAACCCGGGAAGUGCUUCUGAUACUGUUUGGCUUGAGUACUAGAGAGGAUAGUAGAAUUCCAGGUGUAGUGGUGAAAUACGUAGAUAUCUGGAGGAAUACCGG
rnacentral:rRNA from 1 species